AUUAUCUAAAAUCCAUCCUUUUUUAAUCCUCCACAAGGGGAUGCCACAUUUGCUCUUGUUACGCUUGGCCACAAUACACGUGGUUAACUUUCGAUAAGUGUCUGCAGAAUAUGAGCAGCUGUCAGCUUGGGAAGCAGAGGGUGAGGAGUGGAGAGAAGGUAGCAUGGCUUCUCACUUGCCACUGCUUAGGUAUUUGGACAAGUUUUUAAUGAACUCAGUCUUGGUUUUCUCACUUAUAAGUCAACCAGUUAGAAUGCUUUUCAAAAUGCUUUGGCCUCUACGUAGGAUUCUAAGUAGCACAGUGAUCUCAUAAGAGUAAAUUCUUACCAGGAUCCGAGAGGAGCACUAGGUGUGUGCCUCUAUAAAUGGGAAGUAACAGCUUCAUGAGGAUCAUUUUCAGAUUGCUGUAGAAGUUUUCUUGAACUUCUAGGACAUCCACCUGUGAGCUGUCUAUAUGGUGUAAUGUUUGGAAGGCGUCUUCAGUGUCAGAGUUGAAGAAUUACAGUCCCUGCCUACGAUACCUCAAAUGUGCCACACAACUCUGUGUUCCAAUCAUUGUAAAGGCUGAAGUGUGCAACUAAUUUUCUUUCAAAAAAUAUAGCAGACUGAUAUCAAC